rnacentral:rRNA from 1 species
UACAGAGGGUGCGAGCGUUUGUCCGGAAUCACUGGGCGUAAAGGGCGCGUAGGUGGUGGCUUAAGCGUGCGGUGAAAGCUCGGAGCUCAACUCCGAGUCGGCCGUGCGAACUGGGCUCACUGGAGCAUAGUAGAGGCAGGUGGAAUUCCGGGGUGUAGCGGUGGAAUGCGUAGAGAUCCGGAAGAACACCGGUGGCGAAGGCGGCCUGCUGGGCUAUGGGCUGACACUGAGGCGCGACAGCGUGGGGGAGCAAACAGG